CUCGUAGGUGGUUUGUCGCGUUGUUCGUGAAAACUCACAGCUUAACUGUGGGCGUGCGGGCGAUACGGGCAGACUGGAGUACUGCAGGGGAGACUGGAAUUCCUGGUGUAGCGGUGGAAUGCGCAGAUAUCAGGAGGAACACCGGUGGCGAAGGCGGGUCUCUGGGCAGUAACUGACGCUGAGGAGCGAAAGCGUGGGGAGCGAACAGGAUUAGAUACCCUGGUAGUCCACGCCGUAAACGGUGGGUACUAGGUGUGGGUUUCCUUCCUUGGGAUCCGUGCCGUAGCUAACGCAUUAAGUACCCCGCCUGGGGAGUACGGCCGCAAGGCUAAA
rnacentral:rRNA from 1 species